GACGAACGCUGGCGGCGUGCUUAACACAUGCAAGUCGAACGAUGAUCUCCCGCUUGCGGGGGUGAUUAGUGGCGAACGGGUGAGUAAUACGUGAGUACCUUGCCCUUGACUCUGGGAUAAGCCUGGGAAACCGGGUAUAUUACUGGAUACUACUUCCUGCCGCCUGGUGGGGGGUGGAAAGGGUUUUACGUGUUUUGGAUGGGCUCGCGGCCUAACGGCUUGUUGGUGGGGGAAUGGGUCACCAAGGCGACGACGGGUAGACGGCCAGAGGGGGUGAGCGGCCACACUGAGACUGAGGCACGGCCCAGGCGCCGACGGGAGGCAGCAGGGGGGAAGACUGCUCAAGGGGCGGCAGGCGGAUGCAGCGACGCCGCGGGUUGUAAGACGGUCUUCGUGUUGAAAACCUCUUUCAGCAUGGAAGAAGCCACUAGUGACGGUACCUGCAGAAGAAGCGCCGGCUAACUACGUG
rnacentral:rRNA from 1 species